GAGUUUGAUCUUGGCUCAGGUUGAACGCUGGCGGAAUGCUUUACACAUGCAAGUCGAGCGGCAGCGCGGGGCAACCUGGCGGCGAGCGGCGAACGGGUGAGUAAUGCAUCGGAACAUGUCCAUGUCGUGGGGGAUAGCCCGGCGAAAGCCGGAUUAAUGCCGCAUGUGCCCGGAAGGGGAAAGUGGGGGACCGCAAGGCCUCACGCGAUUGGGUUGGCCGAUGUCCGAUUAGCUAGUUGGGGGGUAAGUGCCUACCAAGGCGACGAUCCAUAGCUGGUCUGAGAGGAUGAUCAGCCACACUGGGACUGAGACACGGCCCAGACUCCUACGGGAGGCAGCAGUGGGGAAUAUUGGACGAAUGGGCGAAAGCCUGAUCCAGCCAUGCCGCCGUGAGUGAUGAAGGCCCUAGGGUUGUAAAGCUCUUUCAGUGGGGAAGAUAAUGACGGUACCCACAGAAGAAGCCCCGGCUAACUUCGUGCCAGCA
rnacentral:rRNA from 1 species